AUUGAACGCUGGCGGCAUGCCUUACACAUGCAAGUCGAACGGCAGCACGGGAGCUUGCUCCUGGUGGCGAGUGGCGAACGGGUGAGUAAUGCAUCGGAACGUGCCCUGAAGUGGGGGAUAACGUAGCGAAAGUUACGCUAAUACCGCAUAUUCUGUGAGCAGGAAAGCAGGGGAUCUUCGGACCUUGCGCUUUUGGAGCGGCCGAUGUCGGAUUAGCUAGUUGGUGGGGUAAAGGCCCACCAAGGCGACGAUCCGUAGCGGGUCUGAGAGGAUGAUCCGCACACUGGAACUGAGACACGGUCCAGACUCCUACGGGAGGCAGCAGUGGGGGAAUUUUUGGGACAAUGGGCGCAAGCCUGAUCCAGCCAUGCCGCGUGAGUGAAGAAGGCCUCGG
rnacentral:rRNA from 1 species